GGGGCCCGCACAAGCGGUGGAGCAUGUGGUUAAUUCGAAGCAACGCGAAGACCUUACCAGGUCUUGACAUCCCGAUGCUAUUCUAGAGAUAGAAAGUUACUUCGGUACAUCGGUGACAGGUGGUGCAUGGUUGUCGUCAGCUCGUGUCGUGAGAUGUUGGGUUAAGUCCCGCAACGAGCGCAACCCCUAUUGUUAGUUGCCAUCAUUCAGUUGGGCACUCUAGCGAGACUGCCGGUAAUAAACCGGAGGAAGGUGGGGAUGACGUCAAAUCAUCAUGCCCCUUAUGACCUGGGCUACACACGUGCUACAAUGGUUGGUACAACGAGUUGCGAGUCGGUGACGGCGAGCUAAUCUCUUAAAGCCAAUCUCAGUUCGGAUUGUAGGCUGCAACUCGCCUACAUGAAGUCGGAAUCGCUAGUAAUCGCGGAUCAGCACGCCGCGGUGAAUACGUUCCCGGGCCUU
rnacentral:rRNA from 1 species